rnacentral:rRNA from 1 species
AAUAUUGGACAAUGGGGGAAACCCUGAUCCAGCAAUGCCGCGUGAGUGAUGAAGGCCUUAGGGUUGUAAAGCUCUGUGGGGAGGGACGAAAACGUUUGGCGCGAACGGCUCCAGACCUUGACGGUACCUCCUUAGCAAGCACCGGCUAACUCUGUGCCAGCAGCCGCGGUAAGACAGAGGGUGCAAACGUUGCUCGGAAUUACUGGGCGUAAAGCGCGUGUAGGCGGGCCGGCAAGUCAGGUGUGAAAUCCCCGGGCUCAACUCGGGAACUGCACUUGAAACUGCCGGUCUGGAGUGCCGGAGAGGGUAGUGGAAUUCCUGGUGUAGAGGUGAAAUUCGUAGAUAUCAGGAGGAACACCGGUGGCGAAGGCGGCUACCUGGACGGUUACUGACGCUGAGACGCGAAAGCGUGGGGAGCAAAC